CUGAGCUUAAAAAGAGGUUUCAGAGGUGGAGGAGCGACAGCAGCAGAACCACAGGAGCGGACAGCGUUUAGAGAAGAAACUCUGAGUCGUCAUACGGUGCAACGUUUACUCCAGUUUCAUCAUGAGGACCUUUGUGAAGGAGCUGGCUCUGGUGGCUCUGUUUCUCUGCCUCCACUCGGCUCCGCUCGUCAAUGCGCAGAAACCGACCGAAGCGCCAGUGAUCAUCCCAGAGGGAGCGAGCGGCAGGGGGGCGCGCUGGAGGUGCAGGGGCUGCUCAUGGUGAAGGGGCUGCGCUGGAAGAAAGACGACUCCGUGUUCAACGGCGCUGAGCGAGUUCUGCCUCUGAGCCUCGCGCUUCUGCCGCUGCUGGGCCUCACUCACACCCUCUACAUGAUGUGAUAGAUCCACUCAGUCAAAGACCCAACAUCCCACCUGAUCUUUGUUGUUUGCAAUCAAAUGAAUUGUUAGUUGUGCCCAAACCCAUUCCUAACAUCCCAACUCUUUAUGAUGAUGAUGAUUUCCUAAGCUCGUUUCACACAUUGGUAAGUUUAAAAACAAAAGCUUUUAUUCUAUUUCAGCCAUGUUUCAUGCUGUUCAAUAAAAC
rnacentral:lncRNA from 1 species